AUGGAUGCUCAUGUUGCGAAACUGAUGAAACCUGAAAAGUUUGCCGGUGACAACUUCAAGAGAUGGCAGUCCAAGGUGCGUCACUACCUCCUGUCCAAGGGCCUGUGGUGGAUUAUCCCACAGGUUAGGCCGCUGACUCGUCAGCAGGUAAUGGACUUUGAGUUAGCAAAUGACACUGUUGUGGUUGUCAUCUUGUCGCUCCUUGAGAACCAGCUCUAUGAUGUAUACCAUGGGUACACCUCUGCAAUAGAGCUUUGGGAGGCGCUGGAUCGCAAGUACGCGGUCUCUAACGCAGGGCGAUGGAUUUAUGUGGUUGAACAGUACCACGAUUUCCGCAUGGUGGACGGCGUCUCCGUCGUCAAGCAAGCUCAUGAUCUUACAUCGAUUGUGAGUGAGUUGGCUCAGUUUGAUGUGAACGUCAAUGCCAAGUUUGUGGUGGGGGGCAUCAUUGCCAAACUCCCUCCUUCAUGGAGAGAUUUUGCCACCACGCUUAAGCACAAGAGGGAGGCAAUGAGGGUUGAUGACCUGAUUGCUCACCUUGAUGUGGAAGAGAAGGCACGUGCUAAAGACACACCUUCCAUCGCAAAUGACGGCACCUCAAACGCCAACUUUGUGCAGAAAUCUGGUGCUAAGUACAAGGGCAAACAACAGAAUCCAAAGGCCAAGAAUACAACCAACUUUAAGAAGAAGAAGGAAGGCAUAAUCUGCUAUGUGUGUGGUGAGCCUGGCCACAAGGCCAAUAAAUGCCACAACAGGAAGGGCAAGAAGGGUGGGCAGCAGAACGGACAGAACACUGUCAACGUGGUUGUUAGCGAGCCUAGUACUGCGGGGCUACAAGCGGUUCCCCCAUCUUGA
rnacentral:rRNA from 1 species